rnacentral:rRNA from 1 species
AGAGUUUGAUCAUGGCUCAGAAUCAACGCUGGCGGCGUGCCUCAGACAUGCAAGUCGAACGCGAAAGUUUCCUUCGGGAAGCGAGUAGAGUGGCGCACGGGUGAGUAACACGUAGGUAAUCUACCUUUGGGUGGGGAAUAACAGCCGGAAACGGCUGCUAAUACCGCAUAAUGCAGCGGCUCGACAUCGAGACAGUUGUUAAAGCGGGGGAUUCGCAAGAACCUCGCGCCUAAAGAGGAGCCUGCGGCGGAUUAGCUAGUUGGUAAGGUAAUGGCUUACCAAGGCAUCGAUCCGUAGCCGGCCUGAGAGGGCGGUCGGCCACACUGACACUGACAUACGGGUCAGACUCCUACGGGAGGCAGCAGUCGGGAAUUUUGGGCAAUGGGCGAAAGCCUGACCCAGCAACGCCGCGUGAAGGAUGAAAUCCCUCGGGAUGUAAACUUCGCAAGAACAGGAAGAAUAAGUGGGGGACAAUACCCCCCAUGAUGACGGUACUGUUUGUAAGCUCCGGCUAACUCCGUGCCAGCAGCCGCGGUA